rnacentral:rRNA from 1 species
AGUGAACGCUGGCGGUAGGCCUAACACAUGCAAGUCGAACGGCAGCACAGUAAGAGCUUGCUCUUACGGGUGGCGAGUGGCGGACGGGUGAGGAAUACAUCGGAAUCUACUUUUUCGUGGGGGAUAACGUAGGGAAACUUACGCUAAUACCGCAUACGACCUACGGGUGAAAGCAGGGGAUCUUCGGACCUUGCGCGUUUGUAUGAGCCGAUGUCGGAUUAGCUAGUUGGCGGGGUAAAGGCCCACCAAGGCGACGCUCCGUAGCUGGUCUGAGAGGAUGAUCAGCCACACUGGAACUGAGACACGGUCCAGACUCCUACGGGAGGCAGCAGUGGGGAAUAUUGGACAAUGGGCGCAAGCCUGAUCCAGCCAUACCGCGUGGGUGAAGAAGGCCUUCGGGUUGUAAAGCCCUUUUGUUGGGAAAGAAAAGCAGCAGGUUAAUACCCCGCUGUUCUGACGGUACCCAAAGAAUAAGCACCGGCUAACUUCGUG